UACAGAGGAUGCAAGCGUUAUCCGGAAUGAUUGGGCGUAAAGCGUCUGUAGGUGGCUUUUUAAGUCCGCCGUCAAAUCCCAGGGCUCAACUCUGGACAGGCGGUGGAAACUACCAAGCUGGAGUACGGUAGGGGCAGAGGGAAUUUCCGGUGGAGCGGUGAAAUGCGCAGAUAUCGGGAAGAACACCUAUGGCGAAGGCAGCUCUCUGGGACGGUACUGACGCUGAGACGCGAAAGCGUGGGGAGCGAACAGG
rnacentral:rRNA from 1 species